rnacentral:rRNA from 1 species
GUCUGGUGGGUAGUUUGACUGGGGCGGUCUCCUCCUAAAGAGUAACGGAGGAGCACGAAGGUUGGCUAAUCCUGGUCGGACAUCAGGAGGUUAGUGCAAUGGCAUAAGCCAGCUUGACUGCGAGCGUGACGGCGCGAGCAGGUGCGAAAGCAGGUCAUAGUGAUCCGGUGGUUCUGAAUGGAAGGGCCAUCGCUCAACGGAUAAAAGGUACUCCGGGGAUAACAGGCUGAUACCGCCCAAGAGUUCAUAUCGACGGCGGUGUUUGGCACCUCGAUGUCGGCUCAUCACAUCCUGGGGCUGAAGUAGGUCCCAAGGGUAUGGCUGUUCGCCAUUUAAAGUGGUACGCGAGCUGGGUUUAGAACGUCGUGAGACAGUUCGGUCCCUAUCUGCCGUGGGCGCUGGAGAACUGAGGGGGGCUGCUCCUAGUACGAGAGGACCGGAGUGGACGCAUCACUGGUGUUCGGGUUGUCAUGCCAAUGGCACUGCCCGGUAGCUAAAUGCGGAAGAGAUAAGUGCUGAAAGCAUCUAAGCACGAAACUUGCCCCGAGAUGAGUUCUCCCUGACUCCUUGAGAGUCCUGAAGGAACGUUGAAGACGACGACGUUGAUAGGCCGGGUGUGUAAGCGCAGCGAUGCGUUGAGCUAACCGGUA